GAUUUCUGGUACGAUGCGCCUGGCCCGCCGGCGUAAGCCGUGUGAGUGCCGGUGUGCGUCUGCCAUCCUUCCAGAGAACUACUCUGCCCUUCAUUGGUGUUGGAGUAGCCAUCUGGAUCUUUUACUUUGAAAAAAUUAGAGUGUUUAAAGCAGGCUUGCGCUAUGAAUACAUUAGCAUGGAAUAAUAAUCUAGGACUUCGGUUCUAUUUUGUUGGUUUCUAUAACUGAAGUAAUGAUUGAUAGGGAUAGUUGGGGGUGCUAGUAUUGGCCGGCCAGAGGUGAAAUUCUUGGAUUCGGUCAAGACUAACUUAUGCGAAAGCAUU
rnacentral:rRNA from 1 species